rnacentral:lncRNA from 1 species
UUUUCUUUUUUUUUUUUUUUUUUUUUUUUUUGAGAUGGAGUCUUGCUCUGUCGCCCAGGCUGGAGUGCAGUGGCGUGAUCUCAGCUCACUGGAAUCUCCACCUCCUGGGUUCACACCAUUCUCCUGCUUCAGCCUCCGAACAGCUGGGACUACAGGCACCCGCCACCAUGUCGGCUAAUUUUUUGUAUUUUUAGUAGAGAUGGGGUUUCACCAUGUUAGCCAGAAUGGACUCGAUCUCCUGACCUCGUGAUCCACUCGCCUCAGCCUCCCACAGUGCUGGGAUUACAGGCGUGAGCCACCGCGCCUGGCCUGACUAAAAUACAUUUUCAAGACUAAAAGCUAAGAACAAAGAUUUAGAGAUUUGAUACAGCAUUUGUAGAGAGGGCUUUUAGAGUGAUCUCAACCUGAUGUAACUGGCUGUGAAAUGUAAUUCUUCCAGGAUGAAAGGUGAAGAUCAGUAUGCAUACAUGUAUUUAUCUACAGUAUAUACACAUAAUACAUAGUAAAGAAUUAAGCUUCAGUAACCUGUAAAAUUUGCCUAAGUAGAAUACUGAUUUUGCAGAGAUAUGGGCUAAGUAAGAUACUAUCCUACACAUAAACACACGCAGAUGAUAGAAUGAAGUUAAAAACUGUUUCCAUUCUUCUUCUACACCUUAUAUAUUCAUGUCUAUAACAGCCCAUAACACACUGUUUACAUGUCUGACUUGCCCAACAGACUGUGAAGUCCUUAAGUCUAGCAGGGUGCUACAUUCAUUUAUUAUUCAGUAAAUAAAUGUUGAGCCAAACUGAAGUUACAGGAGAGAAGCAGAAAUCAUCAUGGAUUCACACAAGAGUGGGAGGGAUUUUUUUUUUUUUUUUUUUGAGAUGGAGUUUCACUCUUGUCGCCCAGGCUGGAGUACAAUGGCGUGAUCUCAGCUCACUGCAACCUCCACCUCCUGGGUUCAAGCAGUUCUCAUGACUCAGCCUCCCAAGUACCUGGGAUUAAAGGCACGUGCCACCACACCUGGCUAAUUUUUGUAUUUUUAGUAGAGACGGGGUUUCACCAUAUUGGCCAGGCUGGUCUUGAGCUCCUCCCCUCAGGUGAUCCACCCACCUCAACCUCCCGAAGUGCUGGGAUUACAGGUGGGUGGAUCACAAGGUCAGGAGUUCAAGACCAGCCUGGCCAACAUAGUGAAACCUCUUCUCUACUAAAAAUACAAAAAUUAGCCAGGUGUGGUGGCACGUGCCUGUAGUCCCAGCUAUGAUACUCAGGAGGCUGAAGCAGGAGAAUACCUUGAACCUGGCAAGCAGAGGUUGCAGUGAGCCGAGACCACGCCAUUGCACUCCAGCCUGGGUGACAGAGUGAGACUCCAUCUCAAAAAAAAAGAAUAUCACGCCUGUAAUCCCAGCACUUUGGGAGGCCGAGGCGGGUGGAUCACGAGGUCAGGAGAUCGAGACCAUCCCGGCUAAAACGGUGAAACCCCGUCUCUACUAAAAAUACAAAAAAUUAGCCGGGCGUAGUGGCGGGCGCCUGUAGUCCCAGCUACUUGGGAGGCUGAGGCAGGAGAAUGGCGUGAACCCGGGAGGCGGAACUUGCAGUGAGCCGAGAUCCCGCCACUGCACUCCAGUGGGUGGAUCACAAGGUCAGGAGUUCAAGACCAGCCUGGCCAACAUAGUGAAACCUCUUCUCUACUAAAAAUACAAAAAUUAGCCAGGUGUGGUGGCACGUGCCUGUAGUCCCAGCUAUGAUACUCAGGAGGCUGAAGCAGGAGAAUACCUUGAACCUGGCAAGCAGAGGUUGCAGUGAGCCGAGACCACGCCAUUGCACUCCAGCCUGGGUGACAGAGUGAGACUCCAUCUCAAAAAAAAAGAAUAUCACGCCUGUAAUCCCAGCACUUUGGGAGGCCGAGGCGGGUGGAUCACGAGGUCAGGAGAUCGAGACCAUCCCGGCUAAAACGGUGAAACCCCGUCUCUACUAAAAAUACAAAAAAUUAGCCGGGCGUAGUGGCGGGCGCCUGUAGUCCCAGCUACUUGGGAGGCUGAGGCAGGAGAAUGGCGUGAACCCGGGAGGCGGAACUUGCAGUGAGCCGAGAUCCCGCCACUGCACUCCAGCCUCUAUCUCCCAGAAUCAAGGGAUUCUCCCGCCUCAGCUUCCUGAGUAGCCUGCAUGCCACCAUGCCCAGCUAUUUUUUUUAUUUUUAUUUUUAGUAGAGACAGAGUCUCACUAUGUUGCUCAGACUGGUCUCGAACUGCUGGGCUCAAGCAAUCCUUCUGCCUCAGCCUCCCAAAGUGCUUGGAUUACAGGGUGAGUUACCCUGCCCAGCUGACUUCUCUACAUUUGUGAAGUCACUAAAAUGACCUCAGCCUUGGUUUUCUCUAUAUAAUAGCAGAACUAGGAUCAAUCCAACCACUUACCUUCUACAUUCCUACAUGCAGGCUGCUGAGUACUGCUCCAGAAAAGAACACAACUGUGCCGACUGUCACCAAUCCAAUUCAUGUUUCUAAACUCAGCAGUUUUGUAAUCCUUUCACCCCUCCCAUUCCCCACAGCAGCUGGUUCUCAUGCCAUCUAUCCUGCCAUCAAAAUCUCCUUCCUUCAUAAUAGCCAAAAACUAGAAAUAUGUGUCCAUUAAUUGAUGAAUGGAUAAACAAAAUGUAGUAUAUCCAUACAACAGAGUAUUAC